rnacentral:rRNA from 1 species
AUUGAACGCUGGCGGCAUGCUUUACACAUGCCAGUCGAACGGUAACAGGGUGCUUGCACCGCUGACGAGUGGCGAACGGGUGAGUAAUGCAUCGGAAUGUACCGUGUAAUGGGGGAUAGCUCGGCGAAAGCCGGAUUAAUACCGCAUACGCCCUGAGGGGGAAAGUGGGGGACCGAAAGGCCUCACGUUAUACGAGCAGCCGAUGUCUGAUUAGCUAGUUGGUGAGGUAAAGGCUCACCAAGGCGUCGAUCAGUAGCGGGUCUGAGAGGAUGAUCCGCCACACUGGGACUGAGACACGGCCCAGACUCCUACGGGAGGCAGCAGUGGGGAAUUUUGGACAAUGGACGCAAGCCUGAUCCAGCCAUGCCGCGUGUCUGAAGAAGGCCUUCGGGUUGUAAAGGACUUUUGUCCGGGAGCAAAUCCUAGUGGUUAAUACCUACUGGGGCUGAGAGUACCGGAAGAAUAUGCACCGGCUAACUACGUG